rnacentral:lncRNA from 1 species
AUGAGGCUUCUAGUAACUUUAAUAGCUUUUUUUUUUUACAACAAAGUAGUAAUAGUAAAGAGAGGGAAUGGUAGGAAAGAGGUAGAGAGUUGCUUAGUUUACUACUCUAUUGUGCUCCAUGAUGGAUUGAAGAUCACCACCAAGAGUUCCUUCAGGAUCCAAGCUCCAACCAGAAGAACCUUACUUGCUGCUGGGUUUCCCCUUGGGAAGAAACUGAGGCUCAUGGUCCCAGAAGUAAUAAGCAUUAGAGGCAGAAUUUGAAUCCAGUAAGCCACAAGAUUGCAAAUGAAAAUGGGGAGCCAGCCUGGUUGGUUGAGAGGAACAGAAGCAUUUCAAGUUGCUCUGUGGUGGCAUUUGUUUCUAAUCAAGACGGGAAGUGCUGUGGUGGAAAACAUCGCUUAACAGAAGAAUGCUGGGGCAGAUCUCAUGGGAACCUCUGGGAACAAUCAAAACUGCCUGUUUAAGAAGCAGAGUUUCCUGAUAUACUUUGAGGAUACCUCAUAUUAUCUUUUUUGAGAUACCAUUUUAGGAAUGAAUGCUGGCCUGCAUCCAUAAUUUAUCUACAUUUAAAAAUGUAAUAUCUGCAAGGAAGACAUAAUCUCUGGAUUGCAUAGAAUCCAUGUAUAGAGGAAAAUAGGAGCAAGAUAGUGGCAUUUUUCUGAUUUUAGGCAGAUGUUUGAUGAAGAAAAGAUAUGAUGAAAGGCAAAGUCCUACACUGACCCUAUUCCACUCAGUUACAGAAAGGAAAUUUCAGUGCAAUUGAUACUAGAAAAAUGGUUCUGCAAAUAAAAAUAAAUUUGAAAUAGUGAUUUUUAAUGAA